rnacentral:lncRNA from 1 species
CAUUGAUGAAACUAGUGCUGGAGGCUCUGCAUUGACCAGUGCUUCUCUCCCUAGAGUUCACAGUUCUGAGGCUCGUCAGUGACACCCACAUCUGUGCUGGCUGGCUGCAAGUUUUCUACAAUGGAACAUGGAGACCUGUGUGUAGUAACUUCCUGAAGGAUCUUUCCCUCACAAUCGUAUGCAGGCAGUUGGAAUGUGGAGAUUCAGGUUGGCUGGAGAAUAAACAAGAACCCCAUGCAAGCUCUGAGUUUAGCUGGUUGGAUAAAAUUGAAUGCCAUAAACACUAUACGACCUCUUUGUGGCAGUGCUCAUCAGCUCCCUGGCAUCCACAUUCGUGUUCCCAAGAAGAUGAGGCCUGGAUCACCUGUACAGGACAGGCAAAGAAAAAACCAAAUGAAAACAGAGAGGGUGUCAACUGCUCAGCCUACCAAGAAUGCACAGGACUGUCCUGCAAAGCCCCAGGGACACAGUCACUGUGGUCACAAGGAGGAUGCAGCUGUGAAUUGCUCUGGUAUCCUGCUAUUUGCUCAGAAGGGAAAUACACUUUUUGUGGUCAUCAAUUUUGUCCUUGGAACUCUUCUCUGCCUCAUCUUAAUACUUCUGAGGGCUCUGAUGUGGAACAAGAAAAGAUCCUGCCUGGAUUCUAGACUGAAUGCACAUUCUUCUCCUGAGGUCGUCUGUGAGGAUGUUUCACACAUUGAGUUGGGGGAAGAGAAUGAAGAAAUGGAAGAGCUGUAAGAACUACAUGAUGAUGCUGAGGAAGGUUGGGUUCAACACCCCAUAAGGAUCAAGGACUUUUCUUGGAUGGAAGAAGGUGACCAGUCUCAGUCUCUUGAAUAGGAUAAUAUUGAAUUGAAUGUUUUAGGGAUGCCAACAAAGUAAGACAAAAUUCAAAAUAAAACCUCCUCUGAGGUUGACUAUAUGUCA